CCUACGGGAGGCAGCAGUGAGGAAUAUUGGUCAAUGGACGAGAGUCUGAACCAGCCAAGUAGCGUGAAGGAUGACUGCCCUAUGGGUUGUAAACUUCUUUUAUAUGGGAAUAAAAUGUUCCACGUGUGGCUUUUUGUAUGUACCAUAUGAAUAAGGAUCGGCUAACUCCGUGCCAGCAGCCGCGGUAAUACGGAGGAUCCGAGCGUUAUCCGGAUUUAUUGGGUUUAAAGGGUGCGUAGGUGGUCUGUUAAGUCAGUGGUGAAAGUUUGCGGCUCAACCGUAAAAUUGCAGUUGAAACUGGCAGUCUAGAGUACAGUAGAGGUAGGCGGAAUUCGUGGUGUAGCGGUGAAAUGCUUAGAUAUCACGAAGAACUCCGAUUGCGAAGGCAGCUCACUGGACUGCAACUGACACUGAGGCUCGAAAGUGUGGGUAUCAAACAGGAUUAGAUACCCCAGUAGUC
rnacentral:rRNA from 1 species